CUCCCUCCUUUCCUCCUGCUCCCCUCCCCUUCCCUUCCCCACCGCCUGCGCAGGCAGGAUGCGCGCAGCGCCGCCAUCCCGCAGCGGGAGCCGCGCAUGGCGGGGCGCCGGGCACCGCGCUCCCCGCGGCGGCGGCGGCGGCGGCGGCGGGCGACAAAGUUUGUUCCGAGCCGCGCUGAGCCGAGCCGAGCUGAACCGAGCCGUGCUAAGCCGGGCCGGGCCGAGCCGAGCCGAGCCGAGCCGGGCCGGGCCAGGCCGUGGUGCCGCCCGCCCGCCGUGCGGCUGAAGCGCGGCGGGGCGGGGGCGUGCUGGCGCUGGGGGUGGGGGGUGCUGCGGCCGGCGAUUGGGCGGCGCGGCGCUCGGAAGCACUUUGUUUUCUAUUCUAAUGAGGGCGGAGCGGGGCUUGUGGAUAUUUACGUUGAGGCGGGAGCCGCCGCCCUUCAUUCACCCACAUGGUCCCCGAGCCCUGCCGCCGCUGCCGGGACCGGGACCGGGACCGGGACCGGGACCAGCACCGGGACCGGCCUUGGCGCCGCUUCCCCCCCCGCCCCCCAUCCGCCCCGCCGGGCAGCGGCGGCGCUGCCUCGCCUCGCCUCGCCCCGCAGGGAGGAGGAGGAGGAGGAGGGAAGAUGGUGGCGGCCGCCGCUCGCUCGCUGGCAGAAAGCGAGGAGCUCGGCGGUGGUUUCGCAGUGUGGACACGUGCGGCGGGAGGUAACGAGGCUUGCUGGGGAUGUGGAGGUAGAGGAUUCGUGGAGAAAGUUGCUUUUUUUUGCAGAAAAGGGUAAGUAUUUAUUUUUUGCUAUUUUAUUUUCUAAUGUAGAGGAUCUGAGUCAAAGCAUGAGAGUUAAGUGA
rnacentral:lncRNA from 1 species